AUUGAACGCUGGCGGCAGGCCUAACACAUGCAAGUCGAGCGGUAACAGAUCUAGCUUGCUAGAUGCUGACGAGCGGCGGACGGGUGAGUAACGCGUAGGAAUCUACCGAGUAGUGGGGGAUAGCCCAGAGAAAUUUGGAUUAAUACCGCAUACGCCCUACGGGGGAAAGGAGGGGAUCUUCGGACCUUUCGCUAUUUGAUGAGCCUGCGUAAGAUUAGCUAGUUGGUAGGGUAAAGGCCUACCAAGGCGACGAUCUUUAGCUGUUCUGAGAGGAUGAUCAGCCACACUGGGACUGAGACACGGCCCAG
rnacentral:rRNA from 1 species